CAGGCUGUGAUGUAAAUGCUGCCAACGACCGAGGGAACACCCCCCUGCACCAGGCUGCCAUGAGUGGGAACAUCCCUCUCAUCAAACUGCUCCUCAAGCACGGGGCAGACCCUUACAUCGCAAACAGCGCCAACAUACUUCCGAUCGACUGCGCCACCAACACAGGCCACCUAGUCGCAGCGAAGCUCCUGCGUAUCAACAUCAGCACCCCUCACCAGGUGUGGG